CGGACGGGUGAGUAACACGGGAGCCACCUGCCUUGAUCAGGGGGAUAACAACGGGAAACCGUUGCUAAUACCGCAUAACAGCUUUCGACACAUGUUAGAAGCUUGAAAGAUGCAAUUGCAUCACUACGAGAUGGACCUGCGUUGUAUUAGCUAGUAGGUAGGGUAACGGCCUACCUAGGCGACGAUACAUAGCCGACCUGAGAGGGUGAUCGGCCACACUGGGACUGAGACACGGCCCAGACUCCUACGGGAGGCAGCAGUAGGGAAUCUUCGGCAAUGGGGGCAACCCUGACCGAGCAACGCCGCGCGAGUGAAGAAGGUUUUCGCAUCGUAAAGCUCUGUUGUAAGAGAAGAACGUGUGUGAGAGUGGAAAGUUCACACAGUGACGGUAACUUACCAGAAAGGGACGGCUAACUACUUGCCAGCAGCCGCGGUAAUACGUAGGUCCCGAGCGUUGUCCGGAUUUAUUGGGCGUAAAGCGAGCGCAGGCGGUUUAAUAAGUCUGAAGUUAAAGGCAGUGGCUUAACCAUUGUUCGCUUUGGAAACUGUUAAACUUGAGUGCAGAAGGGGAGAGUGGAAUUCCAUGUGUAGCGGUGAAAUGCGUAGAUAUAUGGAGGAACACCGGUGGCGAAAGCGGCUCUCUGGUCUGUAACUGACGCUGAGGCUCGAAAGCGUGGGGAGCAAACAGGAUUAGAUACCUUGGUAGUCCACGCCGUAAACGAUGAGUGCUAGGUGUUAGGCCCUUUCCGGGGCUUAGUGCCGCAGCUAACGCAUUA
rnacentral:rRNA from 1 species